GUUCCCAGCCAGGACUUUGAGUCAAGCCGAGGCAAAGAUGUGAACGGGACCCAUCCACUUGUAGAGACCUACAAGAAACCGAAUGAUUCAGAGGGAAAAACAAAGCCACACGAGAAGCUGGCACGGACAAGUAUUUAUGGCUUAUUAUGUGGCAGGACUGUCUUCUUAAGUAGAAUUCUGCCUAGAGGACAGGGUAAUAAGUAGGUCGGGCGUGACUCACACGGAAGCGAGAGAGCAUGGAGGGAUUGGAGAAAGGAAGGGUUGCCUCGCGCUCACGUGUCUUCCCAAUGGGUAUACGUGAAACCGGAAAUCCCAGGGGUUAAGACUACACCCUCCUCAGCUCUUUCCAGCAUUUCGUACGUUAGCCCCUAAUGAGGUAGGCUACCGAUCCCUAAAACUGGUGUGCUGGCAAGUUUUUGCAGCCAAUUCUCAAAAACACAGGGAGGAUAUGUCCUCCCUGCUGGUGCACACCCUGCAGGUUAAGGGCAGACUCCUUCGCAAGGCCGUCGCGACUUCAAACACUAGCCACAAAUUUCAGGCAUCCCCUGCCCCUCUGCCUGGCUGACUACAAACGUGGGCCUUCCCACAAUCCCCUCAGGUUUCAGAAUGGGUGCGAAUGCCACACCGAACUCAGGAUGCCCCUGAGGAAAUGAUUACCAUUUCAUUACAUAGGACACAAAUGAAGAGCCAAAUGAACAGGUAUGUAGGGCAAGUUCUAGUAGGGUCUCAAGUUGCUGCCUCAGGGUCCAGACUUUUACAUGGGGAUUCAUAUAUAGGCACGAUGGAUUAAACCAUUGGCCACAUGACCGAACUCGGUCUCCAGUCCCUUUCCUCUCCCAGCGUCAGAGUUGUGGCUGAAAGUUCCAACCUUCUGUGCCCAUGCUUGGUCUUUCUAGUGUGGCCAGCCCUUCCCUCGAAGCUAUAGAAGGGCUCAUUGUGAGUCAUUUCAUUAGUACAAACUCAGGCAUGUUGUCAAGGGGCUUGUUAUAAGUAACAAGAGUUACUCCUAUUAUUCAAAAAAUUCCCAGAGUUUUUGGAGCUCUGUGCCAGGAAGGACAGAUGCCGGCUAUGUUCCUUCUCCUAUCUCAGGAAGAGAUACACGUGAUACGCUCUCGUGGGCUGGUGUGGGUUGACUCCAGCACACCACUGUUCCUAGCCUCUGGAUUCUUCUGCAGAGACUUGAAAAAUCCUAAUAUCUGGGUCUCAGCCUCGGAGAUUCUGCUUUAAUUAGUGUGGGGACCAACCUGGCCCUGAAGCCUUAGAAGCUCCCGGAAUUUCCUCGUAUGCAGCAAAGCUUGAUUCCUACGGACCCUCCUUCUCCUUCCUUAAAGCCUCCCCCAACAGUCUCCAGGAUAUAAACCCAAAGGGGUUGGAAGUGGGAUUAACCCUUUUUGGUUUUCUGAGCGAUAAGGCAGAGUUGCAAGGGAUGCCCUGGCACAAUUUAGGGCCAGCCGUCCUGCUCCUGCCUGGGAUCUAGGAAGACUGGCAUUGCUUUGUGCCCCUAAGAACCUUUCCAUGGCAUGGACACCCUGGCUUGAAGCUCAAACUGUCUUCUUCAUCAUCAAUCAUCAUCAUCAUCAUCAUCAUCAUCACAAGGCUGAGCAUGUUCAAACCUACUGGAGACAAACCUGAACAGGUCCGAAGAGAGAAAUGGGUCCUUAACCCAAAGCCUUCGUGCAGAUCCUACUAACUGAGUUAGUGAGUUUCCUCUCGGGGCAUAUAACUAAAUGAUUACCAUAAACUAUAAGACGCUUUAUAGCCUACAUCAUUCUUUUAGUUAGGUAUUUCCAUGAGUUCCUUCUUCCAAUUCCUUCAGCUCUUUGUCUACACGUCACCUAAUCAGUAAGGCCUCCCCUGACCCUCAUUUUCCCCAACACAAUUGGUUAUCAUGGGAAGUAUUUCACACAUGCUUCCCCAGCGACUGCCUACAUCUCUGUGCCAGGAAGAAAGCCCGGGGAGAGACAUCCAACAGGAAGCGGGGCUUUCUGGGAAGAAGCAAGGAUCUGAUUGAGAUCCUUCAGGAUCCAAGUUUGUCAUUUUAAGUCAACGCGCCACUCCCAGGGGUUUAAAGCCAUUGCAAACGUGUGCCGCGUUCUAGCAGAGUGUAGUCUCGGAGGGCAGCAUGUGGUUCUUAGGAUAUGCUGUCAAGGGAAGAAUUCCUCAGGCCCCCUUUGUGUUCCCUUGCGAUCAUCCUCCGGGAAGGGAGAACAGGAGUGUGAAAUUGUUUAACAGACGGAGCUAGAAGUUCAGAGCUCUCCGUCCUCAUUAGGAAUCCAAAAAACUAGAAAUGCUUACAGAUAAAGCUUACGUGUUUCUCGGAGAUGGCAAUCUGUCAUCUUCCACUACCCAGUGGUGACUCUGAAACUCCUACUACUGAUCUGUCAUUACCUUUCAUUCAUGUCUCCGCUCGUGAAGGGCUAUGUGUGUCCAGCCACGACUUGAUGAGGGCAGACCUGUAAGGAGUUGCCCUCCUCCAGGCACUGGUGAGCUGGACAUUAGACAAGUAAGUACUGAAAUUGUUUGAUUCAAUUUUACUGAUCUCACAAAAGCAGAGUUUGGGGUUUCGUAGGAUUACAAUUUAAGGCACAUCAUCUAACCUUGAGGUCAGAGACGUUUGGUUGAAAAGUGACAUCAUAAGUUGAAGUUUGAAGGAUGAGGAGAAGUUGUGUUGAGUUUCUAAAAAAUAAUUGAACUUGAUUCUCUAGCCGAUGGGCAUCUUGUCCCUGAAGGUACAGAAUCGAAAUUGUCCUUCUGCAGAAGGGAUUAAUAACCUAUUUUCGUGUGUGUGUGUGUGUGUGUGUGUUUAAUUCUGCUGAACCAGAAGGGAAGAACUGGGUGGAAUAAUAUCUACUUGCUGAACAGAGGUAUAGUGACACUUGCUAUCCAACCCCAGCUAAAGAGUUCCUGUAUUUUUAACUAAAGGUGGUAUUAGAAGUGUAAUUGGCAAUGUUGUUUUCCUUUUCAUUGUUAAGUGCAUUCAUUAACUCUAAUUGAUAUUUCAGGGCUUGUAUCUUGGUUGAUAAAAGCUUAAGAUAAAGUAUGAUUGUCCUAUUUUUAGGUUUUGGAAAAAACACUGCUCUUCGGAAAAAGCGGUGUGCAACAUGACAAAGGACGAGCCUGUUCCCCCUCGCUACCCCCAGGCAUGCGGUGAAGGGCACUAAAUGACCUUGGAAGCUCCAUAAUUCAAUAGAGUUUCACGUGAAUAAGGCAUUAUUUGAUCUGAAAGCUACAGGGAUCAGGCCAAGAAAAGCUUGCUUCGAAAGCCGGAGGAGAGAACCACAGGGGGAAAUGUACGAGAACGUUGAGGAUGCUUUCGCUGCACCGGCCAACGCGUGACUUUGUCUAUUACAAAUCUGAUUUUAAUGUGGUCCAUGAAUUCUGCACUGGAAAAAAAAAAAGAAAGGAAAAGAAAAGGGGAAAAACAUUCAGGUUGCCAAGGCCAGUCUAUGAGGACUCAGAGCCACAGAUGAACAAAAGUCCGGAUCAGCUACUUAAUCUAACUCAGAAGUGACCUCCUUCAGGAAGCCUCCCGGCCCUCCCCCGUCAAGGCCGAGGUGGAAGUCUGUCGUGGGUUGUGUCUCUUGUCAUCUUCGGCCCUUCUUUCAGCGAACUUCCCAUGUGUAUUGCCGAUGGGGGUUUGUCUGUCACACUAGUAGACUGGUGGCCCUUAAUGGCAGCUGUGGGAGAAAGACCUGGUUUAUGGCCGGUGUUCAACAAAUAUUUGCUGAGCAAAUGCGCCAGUUUAUGUAGAGAAGAUAAAAUUCACAUGGUCUGUACUCAGAAGCCAACUGAUGAUGUUAUCUGGGGUGACAAGGAGAAAACAAGAGGCGACUGAGGAAGAAAAAAAGAUGAACCCCACAAUAUCCUAAGACUGAGCCGCUAAUAUUGACACGGUUCUCUUCGGAUGGUUGAGGUGUCCGACCAGGACUGCUGAGUUGGUUGGGCGGAGAAGGAGAGGUGAAUCUUCAGCCAUACCUCAGUUUUCAGUUCGUAUGAUGUUUUGGCUGGAAUUCUGGGUCCAUUACCAAGAGACUAGGACACACACGCCUCUCCUUUGGGAACCAAGAGGUAAGAACAGCAACAACCAGCUACAGCCAGAAACUCUAUUGAGGAAAAGAGAAAGCAGAAAGAUUAAUGUUGCGAGCUCUUCCUAUGUGUUCCAUGCCAGUAGGCAAUUUCUCACCUUCUCUGAUGUAUCCUCUUGACUUUUCUGGAGGUAGAAUUGCCUUAAAUCUUUACCUGUGAAGGAAAUCAGAGGCAAAGGAAUUAGGAGACUAAUCUGCAUGAAGUCAGAUAGCUAGCCAGGGAGAAGUUGAGUUGGGCACAGAGUAACCACCCUCUAGAAACUCAGAUGGACCGCGUUUUAAAAGCCAAGCAAUGCCCCCCUCCCCCCAAUAGGGGAGUCCCUGUCCUAAUACUAACACAGGAAAUGACUAGGAUGUUGAGAUAUCUCCCUUUAACUUUAUUUUACAUGUGAGGUACAAAAAAAAGACAGAAUCUAUCAGGAAAAAUGAAUUCAGCUCCUCUGGUUGCCGCGGAGACAAACUACUUACCGACCACCUCCGAACCUUUUUCGUGGGGAACAACCACAAUUGAGAUUUCUAACUUCCAAGAAUUGUAUUCAAGGAGGAUUGGCUUCCACUCAUUCACAGUCUGGAUUUGAAAACCAAAAUUGAGGGGGGCCUCCUGUACUCAUUUCCUGGUGUUGAAAAUCUGAGUAGCAAAAACUAUUUAAAUCUUAGAGCUUUGUUUCAAGAUCCUGAGUGGAGGCAAGUUUCCGUUUCCUGAGAGGUGUGUACAUUGUGUGUGUGUGUGUGUGUGUGUGUGUGUGUGUGUGAGAGAGAGAGAGAGAGAGAAAGAAAGGGAGAGAGAGAGAGAGAGAGAGAGAGAGAGAGACAGGGCAAGACAGAGGGCUCUCUAGAAGCUAUUUGAUAUGCCAUUCUAUAGAAUUAAACAUAAAACAUGAGAGUAAAAAUUAGUUUGUCUCCAAAAGCAUUGUUUAAAUAAGAAUGAAUUCGAACCAGAAGAAAAGCAGCAUUGUCCUCCCUGGAAAUGCCAUCUGCAACACUUGUGAAACAUUGGUUAAAUGUGGAGACACAGCUAGUGAAAAUGUCUGUAUAUUUACAGACUCAGGGCUGCUACCUAGGCAGGGAAACACGGGGCAGCCGGCUGCUCACCUGGACUCCUGCUCUGGGAAUGGAGGCUUCAUAUGAGAGUGGGUUUAGGGUAGCUGCCGUGUGUGGGUUCAAACAAAAUCCAGAGAAUAGGGCCUGGCGUGAAGUGACACUGGAAUCAGAGAGGCGGUCUUAAGGCAGCAUUAAUUGCCGGUGGAGACGGGACGAAAGUGGGCGUUGGUGGAGGGGCCAGCUACUGGAGAUGGGAGCCAGGGAAGGCAUCAGCGUGGGGGUAGAGGAUGGAGUUGUGGAGUUUCUCUGUUGUGCUGGCAGGUAAGCCCCGAGUCUGUGCCGGGCUACCGAAGCAUUAGCCCGUGGUGGACACUUGUUGAGGUCAGCGGGGGAACUGGAGAACACCAGCCCCUUCCUUUCAUAGAAGAGGACGCCGCGAGUCGGAGGGCAGACAAGCCGUGUGAGGACACCCAGGAAGUGAGAGCUGAAACCACAGCUCCAGUGGCUUGCGGUCUUCUUGGCUGUUUUGGUAAACACAGCCACUGACCGGUACAUUGCUUUCCACCAACCUUCAUGGCUGCCCGUUAUUUUUUUAUUUCAUUAUCUGUGUUCAGUCAAUUGACGACAGAAAGAAGCGGGGGAUUUCAGCAGACCGUAAACUUCCCUGAAAUCAUUACCUGUACACUGAAUACUAUUUAAUGGCUAUUGGGAUAUAAUCAGUGAACUGAGGUCGGUAUCGGGUGCUGAUUAUGAACAAUAAACAUGAUGAUAACUUAGUUAAUAUACAGUC